rnacentral:rRNA from 1 species
AGUGAACGCUGGCGGUAGGCCUAACACAUGCAAGUCGAACGGCAGCACAGUAAGAGCUUGCUCUUACGGGUGGCGAGUGGCGGACGGGUGAGGAAUACAUCGGAAUCUACUUUUUCGUGGGGGAUAACGUAGGGAAACUUACGCUAAUACCGCAUACGACCUACGGGUGAAAGCAGGGGAUCUUCGGACCUUGCGCGAUUGAAUGAGCCGAUGUCGGAUUAGCUAGUUGGCGGGGUAAAGGCCCACCAAGGCGACGAUCCGUAGCUGGUCUGAGAGGAUGAUCAGCCACACUGGAACUGAGACACGGUCCCGACUCCUACGGGAGGCAGCAGUGGGGAAUAUUGGACAAGGGGCGCAAGCCUGAUCCAGCCAUACCGCGUGGGUGAAGAAGGCCUUCGCGUUGUAAAGCCCUUUUGUUGGGAAAGAAAAGCAGCAGGUUAAUACCCCGCUGUUCUGACGGUACCAAAAGAAUAAGCACCGGCUAACUUAGU